rnacentral:rRNA from 1 species
GAUGAACGCUGGCGGCGUGCCCAAUACAUGCAAGUCGAGCGAACGGACGAGAAGCUUGCUUCUCUGAUGUUAGCGGCGGACGGGUGAGUAACACGUGGAUAACCUACCUAUAAGACUGGGAUAACUUCGGGAAACCGGAGCUAAUACCGGAUGAUAUUUUGAACCGCAUGGUUCAAAAGUGAAAGACGGUCUUGCUGUCACUUAUAGAUGGAUCCGCGCUGCAUUAGCUAGUUGGUAAGGUAACGGCUUACCAAGGCAACGAUGCAUAGCCGACCUGAGAGGGUGAUCGGCCACACUGGAACUGAGACACGGUCCAGACUCCUACGGGAGGCAGCAGUAGGGAAUCUUCCGCAAUGGGCGAAAGCCUGACGGAGCAACGCCGCGUGAGUGAUGAAGGUCUUCGGAUCGUAAAACCCUGUUAUUAGGGAAGAACAUAUGUGUAAGUAACUGUGCACAUCUUGACGGUACCUAAUCAGAAAGCCACGGCUAACUACGUG